UACGGAGGGGGCAAGCGUUGUCCGGAUUUAUUGGGCGUAAAGGGUGCGUAGGCGGUGAUUUAAGUCAGAUGUGAAAGCCCACGGCUUAACCGUGGAAUUGCAUUUGAAACUGGGUCACUUGAGUGCUGAAGAGGAAAGCGGAAUUCGAUGUGUAGCGGUGAAAUGCGUAGAUAUAAGGAGGAACACCAGUUGCGAAGGCGGCUUUCUGGACUGUAACUGACGCUGAGGCACGAAAGCGUGGGUAGCAAACAGG
rnacentral:rRNA from 1 species